GCUUAACACAUGCAAGUCGAACGAGGUCCACUGCGGAGCAAUCCAAGGGAAGACCUAGUGGCGAACGGGUGCGUAACACGUGAGGAACUUGUCCCGGUCUCUGGGAUAACAGUUGGAAACGACUGCUAAUACCGGAUGACGUCGGAGCCCUGCAUGGGGUACUGACGAAAGGGUUACCGGAUCGGGAGAGCCUCGCGGCCUAUCAGCUUGUUGGUGGGGUAAUGGCCUACCAAGGCAUCGACGGGUAGCUGGUCUGAGAGGAUGAUCAGCCACACUGGGACUGAGACACGGCCCAGACUCCUACGGGAGGCAGCAGUGGGGAAUCUUGCGCAAUGGGCGAAAGCCUGACGCAGCAACGCCGCGUGCGGGAAGAAGGCUCUCGGGUUGUAAACCGCUUUCAGCAGGAACGAAAAUGACGGUACUUGCAGAAGAAGGUGCGGCCAACUACGUGCCAGCAGCCGCGGUGACACGUAGGCACCAAGCGUUGUCCGGAUUUAUUGGGCGUAAAGAGCUCGUAGGCGGUUCGGUAAGUCGGGUGUGAAAACUUUGGGCUCAACCCAAAGCCUGCAUCCGAUACUGCUGUGACUAGAGUUCGG
rnacentral:rRNA from 1 species